GCCCAUUAAAAUGCUGCAGAGGAUUUUGGUUUGAUGAAACAAGAAAUAUUUGUUCACCUUGUGAGUAUCCGCGGUACGGUUUAGCAUGCGGCGAAAUAUGCAAUUGUUCUAAUAAUUCUUGCGACAAAUUUCAAGGUUGUGUAUUCGGAGAUGAUAUGACGGAUUCAACAGUUGUGAAAACUACCAUUAGCUUACAUCUUGGAAGCAGUUUGCAAGAAAGAGGUAGCAACUCAUCACCAGUUUUUCAG